UUGGAGGGCAAGUCUGGUGCCAGCAGCCGCGGUAAUUCCAGCCCCAAUAGCGUAUAUUAAAGUUGUUGCAGUUAAAAAGCUCGUAGUUGAAUUUCGGGAUUAGUACGUUGGUCGUGCCUUAGGUACGUACUGGUGUUACUGGUUCCUACCUUCUGACGAACCAUCAUGUCAUUAAUUUGGUGUGGUGGGGAAUCAGGACUGUUACUUUGAAAAAAUUAGAGUGUUUAAAGCAGGCUCGCGCUUGAAUACAUUAGCAUGGAAUAAUGAAAUAGGACGUUGAUCCUAUUUUGUUGGUUUCUAGGAUUGACGUAAUGAUUAAUAGGGAUAGUUGGGGGCAUUAGUAUUCAAUUGUCAGAGGUGAAAUUCUUGGAUUUAUUGAAGACUAACUACUGCGAAAGCAUUUGCCAAGGAUGUUUUCAUUAAUCAAGAACGAAAGUUAGGGGACCGAAGACGAUCAGAUACCGUCGUAGUCUUAACCAUAAACUAUGCCGACUAGGGAUCGGAUGAUGUUAUUUUUAAUGACUCAUUCGGCGCCUUACGGGAAAC
rnacentral:rRNA from 1 species